rnacentral:rRNA from 1 species
GAUGAACGCUGGCGGCGUGCUUAACACAUGCAAGUCGAACGGGAAAUAUUUCAUUGAGACUUCGGUGGAUUUGAUCUAUUUCUAGUGGCGGACGGGUGAGUAACGCGUGGGUAACCUGCCUUAUACAGGGGGAUAACAGUCAGAAAUGGCUGCUAAUACCGCAUAAGCGCACAGAGCUGCAUGGCUCAGUGUGAAAAACUCCGGUGGUAUAAGAUGGACCCGCGUUGGAUUAGCUGGUUGGUGGGGUAACGGCCCACCAAGGCGACGAUCCAUAGCCGGCCUGAGAGGGUGAACGGCCACAUUGGGACUGAGACACGGCCCAGACUCCUACGGGAGGCAGCAGUGGGGAAUAUUGCACAAUGGGGGAAACCCUGAUGCAGCGACGCCGCGUGAAGGAAGAAGUAUCUCGGUAUGUAAACUUCUAUCAGCAGGGAAGAUAGUGACGG